rnacentral:tRNA from 1 species
GUAAAUGUAGUUUAACAAAAACCUCAGGUUGUGAUCCUGACAACGAAAGAUAAAAUCCCUCCAUUUACC